rnacentral:rRNA from 1 species
GACGAACGCUGGCGGCGUGCUUAACACAUGCAAGUCGAACGAUGAAGCCGGAGCUUGCUCUGGUGAAUUAGUGGCGAACGGGUGAGUAACACGUGAGUAACCUGCCCUUGACUCUGGGAUAACUGCGGGAAACUGUAGCUAAUACCGGAUACGACCCUCGGAGGCAUCUCCUGGGGGUGGAAAGAAUUUCGGUGAAGGAUGGACUCGCGGCCUAUCAGCUAGUUGGUGAGGUAAAGGCUCACCAAGGCGACGACGGGUAGCCGGCCUGAGGGGUUGACCGGCCACACUGGGACUGAGACAGGGCCCAGACUCCUACGGGAGGCAGCAGUGGGGAAUAUUGCACAAUGGGCGCAAGCCUGAUGCAGCAACGCCGCGUGAGGGAUGACGGCCUUCGGGUUGUAAACCUCUUUUAGCAGGGAAGAAGCGAAAGUGACGGUACCUGCAGAAAAAGCACCGGCUAACUACGUGCCAGCCGCCGCCGUAA